UGAACACACACACACAUACAAAUACAGAGUAAGUGAUUGAUACUGUGAAAAUGUGCCUUAAGAUUCUCACUAUACAUAUAAGCUUAAUACUUGGGUUGAAUGUGUGCUCUACCGAUUUCCUGAACACUGAACGCUGGUCAUGUCGUAUUCGUAGAUCUUCUGCUGACUAUAUAACUCUUUGCGCUACGGGCACGUGCGCGGUUGCACGGAUGAGAAAUGGUCCCUACGCUACAUGUCGAGAGAAUAAAAAAAAAUGGACAAUUUCUAAGAGAAGAAUUCUGAUGAGCAAGAAAUAAUAAUAUUUGACAGCCGGGGCUCUUCUAUAAUAUUGGAUAGUGAUGAGAAUGAAGGAUUCAAUGAAAUUUUUUUAUCAUGAAGUAACUGUCGCGAUACCAAUGAACAAAGAUUUCUUCUUCGAUUACGAUGGAAUCAGUGAGGAUGACGAAAUCAGUGUGAAUGAUGAUGAUGAUUUUCUUCAAAUCCAUUUUGAUGAUGAGAUGGCAACCCUUUUAGAGUGUGUGCCAGAUGUUGACUUUCUUCUGGAGCAAUUUGAACAAUUUUAAGCAGAAACAUCACCCGAUGCACCACAAUCCUCACCAGCAAAAUUUUAGAUAUCUCGAUUUUUCAGGUGGGAAAAUAUCAAAUUUUCGCGAAAAUGUUCUUAUUAAACUUUUAUAACGUUGGCACUUGUUUUGCCAUUCAAAUGCGUUAACGAAUCUAUCAUCUCUAGUCUUUUCCAUAGUGGAGAUGAGUUAAUUCUCCGCGAUUUUGAUAAAAUUGUCACAUUCUUGGCAAACUUCAUUGAAUUCAUUUACCUCAAUUCGUUUCCGCGGGUUUUUUUUAUAAUUAACCUUUGGCAUUUUUACAAACAAAGAAACUUAAUUCUAUACCUUAAAACGUUUAACAAAAACACUAAAACUAAGAAAAAAAAGAUAUAAUAUAUACAUUUACACCUAAAACAAAAAAGCAAACCUGAAACAAAAGAAAAUCUGAAAUAAAAGAAUAAGUUUUUUCUUAUAAAAGUAUUAAAAACUGUGGAAAAUUUUUCUUGAACUGAUACUCUUCUCUCUAGACCAUCUAUGCCUUACUUGUGAACACAAGAUAAUGCUGUUGGUGGCUUGCGCUGCCCGCCUUAUACCAUGUUCCCCACUAUGGCGCACCUCACCUCAACCGCUCCCCACUAUUUCACAGUCGCGCGCAACUGAACACACCCAUCCCUGUGGCUCUGCUGGCAGGCGCGUAAAGCCUGGGGAUUCCAUGAACUGACCGAAUCAAAUAAAGUGUGGAACGAUCAGGGUGCAACCACUUCUAAGCAAAUUCAAAUAAAAGCGCCAUCAUUGGCGCUAAAAUUUAAAAUGCCCUAUUUCUAAUUGAGCUUUUUAAGUUUAUAAUUUUUAGUGGCGCCAUCUAUUGACGGCAGCCAAUAAUAAUUUGGUCGGUAAUUUUAGCGCGAAAUUAAAAAAAUAACAACUCCCAAGACAUUUAAAAUUAUUUUACAAAAUAAAGUAGCGCCAUCUAGCGGUGACAAUGAGAAUUAAGACGGACGGUAAAGAAGAACACAGUAUUGCAAGGCAGGUAAAAAUGGGUGAGUUACCAAACUGCAAGCCAGUUUAAAUUAGCCGCCAAAAUAAAGUGGCACCAUCUAGUGGCGAAAAUUAGAACUAAACCACAUUGCAACGAAGGUAAAAAAUGUCAGUAAACAGAUUCUUCCCUUACCGACCUCGUUCGGUAACUGCGCUAGAACCCAUGUUGCUAUACUAUUAUUAUUUUUUGAUUUCUUAGUUGUUUCAGUUGAAGCAAAUGAUGACUAUCCCCAUACUUUUUUAAAACUUUGAGGUUUGAGCAAUGUGAUGAAAAAAACUAAGUUUAAAACAAAAAUUUUUUCUUUUUUUGAAAGGACUUUGCCAAAAAGUUUAAAUUUUUAAAAAUUUGACAAAAAAAGCGAAUUUUUGAAGAAAAAUGAUUAUUUUCGCAUCUCAUCCAUA